rnacentral:rRNA from 1 species
UGCCAGCCGCCGCGGUAAUGCGGAGGGAGCUAGCGUUGUUCGGAAUUACUGGGCGUAAAGCGCACGUAGGCGGAUUAGUAAGUUAGGGGUGAAAUCCCGGGGCUCAACCCCGGAACUGCCUCUAAUACUGCUAGUCUUGAGUUCGAGAGAGGUGAGUGGAAUUCCGAGUGUAGAGGUGAAAUUCGUAGAUAUUAGGAAGAACACCAGUGGCGAAGGCGGCUUACUGGACCGGUACUGACGCUGAGGUACGAAAGCGUGGGGAGCGAACAGAAUUAGAUA